GAUGAAGAACGUAGCGAAAUGCGAUAAGUAAUGUGAAUUGCAGAAUUCAGUGAAUCAUCGAAUCUUUGAACGCACAUUGCGCCCCUUGGUAUUCCGAGGGGCAUGCCUGUUCGAGCGUCAUUAUAACCCCUCAAGCUCAGCUUGGUGUUGGGGCCUGCUGCACUGGCAGCCCUUAAAAUCAGUGGCGGCGCCAUCUGGCUCUAAGCGUAGUAAUUCUUCUCGCUAUGGAGUCCUGGUGGAUGCUUGCCAUCAACCCCCAAUUUUCCUAUGGUUGACCUCGGAUCAGGUAGGGAUACCCGCUGAACUUAAGCAUAUCAAUAAGCGGAGGA
rnacentral:misc_RNA from 1 species